CUGAAGUGAUAAGGUGUUAUUUUGCUUAAAUCCUUCUGGAAUUGCAUGGUGACACUCUGUGUGUGGUGGCUGUCUCAGCUGUGAACAUUCCAAGAGCAUUAGAAUUGGUGGAAAACACUGCAGAUUCAGCUUUCAUGGGGGUUUUGUACCUGGUGACAUUGAAACAAGGUGGAGGAGACUGGAGAGUCUGGGAACACCUCAUUGCUGUCCUCAGAAAGGUCCUCUCUUAUCUGAGAGUUCUGGAAGUUGCCUUGCAUUCUGUGCUCUCUUCCAGUGCUGUCCCCAGCAGGGAAAUUGGGCUGUUCACAUGGAGUUUUACAGACUGAGGUGGAUGAUAAACUGCUUGUCCUGUGAAUCAUCAGGAAAUGAACCUCAAAUUGGGGUCUGUGUCUGGUGAAUCAAAGAUGACUCUGAGCUAAUAAAAGGUUAUAGCUUGACUUCAAUAAUGGUGGUUUCCAGCUGGAUAAAAGCCUGGGUGGAUUUUGUUUGUGUUUGUCCAGAAGUCUGUUGAGGCUGAGUGUGCU